AGUGAACGCUGGCGGCGUGCCUAACACAUGCAAGUCGAACGGGCUAGUGCUUCGCACUAGUCUCUUUCUGGGGUUGUUACUCUAAGGCUACCUGCUAAAGUUAUUGCUUUAAAGCAGGGGUUUUAGGAGACUUUCCCCGAAAGGGGCCAGUGCGGAGCACUGGCCAGUGGCGAACGGGUGAGUAACACGUGGGUAAUCUACCCUCGAGUGGGGAAUAAGCUUCCGAAAGGGGGUCUAAUGCCGCAUAACGUUUCAUAACGAUGGUUAUGAAACCAAAGCCCAAAAGGCGCUCGAGGAGGAGCCUGCGUCCUAUCAGCUUGUUGGCAGGGUAAUGGCCUACCAAGGCUAUGACGGGUAGCCGGCCUGAGAGGGUGUCCGGCCACACUGGAACUGAGACACGGUCCAGACUCCUACGGGAGGCAGCAGUGGGGAAUUUUGCGCAAGUGGGGAAACCCUGACGCAGUGACGCCGCGUGCAGGAAGGAGCCCGUUCGGGGUGUAAACGUGCUGUCGUGUAGGGAGAAGGGUACUAA
rnacentral:rRNA from 1 species